CCCUUAGAUGUUCUGGGCUGCACGCGCGCUACACUGAUGCGCUCAACGAGUUUUAACCUUGCCUGGAAAGGUUGGGUAAUCUUUUUAAAACGCAUCGUGAUGGGGAUAGAUUAUUGCAAUUAUUAAUCUUCAACGAGGAAUUCCUAGUAAGCGCGAGUCAUCAGCUCGUGCUGAUUACGUCCCUGCCCUUUGUACACACCGCCCGUCGCUCCUACCGAUUGAAUGGUUUAGUGAGGACUCCUGAUUGGCGCCGCCGCCCCGGCAACGGAGCAGCGGACUGCCGAAAAGUUGUUCAAACUUGAUCAUUUAGAGGAAGUAAAAGUCGUAACA
rnacentral:rRNA from 1 species